UGGGGAAUAUUGGACAAUGGGCGCAAGCCUGAUCCAGCCAUGCCGCGUGUGUGAAGAAGGCUCUAGGGUUGUAAAGCACUUUAAGUUGUGAGGAAGGAGAUGUUGUGAAUAAUGAUAUCUUUUGACGUUAGCAACAGAAUAAGCACCGGCUAACUCCGUGCCAGCAGCCGCGGUAAUACGGGGGGUGCAAGCGUUAAUCGGAUUUACUGGGCGUAAAGAGUUCGUAGGCGGCUGUUUAAGUUGGAUGUGAAAGCCCCGGGCUUAACCUGGGAACUGCAUACAAAACUGGGCAGCUAGAGUAAGGGAGAGGAGAGUGGAAUUUCCGGUGUAGCGGUGAAAUGCAUAGAUAUCGGAAGGAACACCAGUGGCGAAGGCGACUCUCUGGCCUAUUACUGACGCUGAGGAACGAAAGCGUGGGGAGCAAACAGG
rnacentral:rRNA from 1 species